GUCUUGACAAGAGCAUCCUCAGCGGGCGAGUCCCCGGCUCCUCCAGCUCCUUCCUCCUCUUCCUCCUCCUCCUUCACCUCCGGCUUUUGGGGGGUCACUGUCCUCUCUCGGCAGCAGAAUGAGCCGGCAGGUGGUCCGCUCCAGCAAGUUCCGCCACGUGUUUGGACAGCCGGCCAAGGCCGACCAGUGCUAUGAAGAUGUGCGCGUCUCACAGACCACCUGGGACAGUGGCUUCUGUGCUGUCAACCCUAAGUUUGUGGCCCUGAUCUGUGAGGCCAGCGGGGGAGGGGCCUUCCUGGUGCUGCCCCUGGGCAAGCCCUGCCCUCCCCUGGAGCCUGCUGCCCCCUCCGCUGGCUGGCUGCUGCCCCGCACCCCCAGCACACUCCUGUGCUCUUUGGGGGGUAAGACAGGAAGGGGAGAUGGGCCCCAAGUUGUUACCUUAAAAGGGCUGAUGGAAGCAAAGAGAAGAGGAAGUGGUUGUCGGGGUGAGAGCUGGGCCCGCGCCCCACAUGGCUGUCACACAGGAAGCCCUGCUGAAGCAGCUGUCCCCGGAAGAAGCCAUUUCCAAACCUCUGCU
rnacentral:sRNA from 1 species